rnacentral:tRNA from 2 species
ACUAGCCAAAUGGUAAAGGCACUUGACUCAUAAUCAAGCUAGCGAAAGCUAAUACAGGUUCAAAUCCUGUGUAUAA